rnacentral:rRNA from 1 species
UGCAAGUCGGACGGGAUCCAUUGAUAGCUUGCUAUCCAUGGUGAGAGUGGCGCACGGGUGCGUAACGCGUGAGCAACCUACCUCCAUCAGGGGGAUAGCCUCUCGAAAGAGAGAUUAACACCGCAUAACAUCAACAGUUCGCAUGUUCAGUUGAUUAAAUAUUUAUAGGAUGGAGAUGGGCUCGCGUGACAUUAGCUAGUUGGUAGGGUAACGGCUUACCAAGGCGACGAUGUCUAGGGGCUCUGAGAGGAGAAUCCCCCACACUGGUACUGAGACACGGACCAGACUCCUACGGGAGGCAGCAGUGGGGAAUAUUGCACAAUGGGCGCAAGCCUGAUGCAGCGACGCCGCGUGGGGGAUGACGGCCUUCGGGUUGUAAACCUCUUUCAGUAGGGAACAAGGCCUCCUUGAUGGGGGUGGAGGGUACCUGCAGAAGAAGUACCGGCUAGCUAC